AUCCGAAUUGCGAAGCUGCAUACUGACCAUGCAUACUGUAAACCUCUCCAUACAUUCCAGCUGCAUGUGACAAACGACAUUAUCGCCAGUAUUCUAAAAGCUGACUCACAUUCAUUGAGUGGAGGUUCAAUCUGAGAUUCUCUUGAGUGUCAAUGCUGUUUUUGAAUAGCUGGAGGGUGAGUAGUCACAUAGUAAGGUAUGAUACUAUCCCUCCAGCUCAGAGGCGUAGCCAGGCAAAAUUUUGCCCCCCCCCCCUGAUAAAAUGUAUUGUAUAAAAAAGGGACUCCUUGAUUAUGAUUAUACAGUGUGUCGAAAAAAAACACGCUUUGGAAAUUCAACAGGCUGUCGUGCAUCACAAACGUACCUAAACAAUUCAAUUUUUACAUAGGACGAAAGAACAGUAAUUUAGCUUUUCA